GUUUACUGUACUGACAAUUGACAUGACUGUUUUAAAGCGAAAAUUAAAAGAAUGUCGGACGAGUGGGAACUAUUUACUUUCGUAGUGUUGGAUGUGAAUAGUAAAUAAAUUAGAGUUGAAUGUUUAUAUCACCAGUUCUACUCGACGGUGACGAUGAAACACAAUGAUAACGAGCAAAACAACGAGCUUAUCAAUGACCAGAAUGAUGAAGAGAAUAGCGAGAACAGGAACCAGCGAACAAUGAAA